GCCAGGUGCAGUGGCACAUGCCUGUAGUCCUAGCUACUUGGGAGGCUGAGGUGGGAGGAUCGCUUGAGCCCAGGAGUUCUGGGCUGUAGUGGGCUAUGCCGAUCGGGUGUCCAAACUAAGUUCGGCAUCAAUAUGGUGACCUCCUGGGAGCAGGGGAGCACCAGGUUGCCUAAGGAGGGGUGAACCGGCCCAAGUUGGAAACGGAGCAGGUCAAAACUCCCAUGCUGAUCAGUAGUGGGAUCGCGCCUGUGAAUAGCCACUGCACUCCAUCCAGCCUGGGCAACAUAGCGAGACCCUGUCUCUG
ensembl:misc_RNA Metazoa_SRP Metazoan signal recognition particle RNA